UACGUAGGGGCCGAGCGUUGUCCGGAUUCAUUGGGCGUAAAGAGCUCGUAGGCGGUUCAGUUAGUCGGGUGUGAAAUCUCCGGGCUCAACCCGGAGGGGCCACCCGAUACUGCUGUGACUUGAGUCCGGUAGGGGAGUGGGGAAUUCCUGGUGUAGCGGUGAAAUGCGCAGAUAUCAGGAGGAACACCGGUGGCGAAGGCGCCACUCUGGGCCGGUACUGACGCUGAGGAGCGAAAGCGUGGGUAGCAAACAGG
rnacentral:rRNA from 1 species